rnacentral:rRNA from 1 species
ACCGCAUGUGCUCUUCGGAGUAAAGCUACGGCGGUUUGGGAACGGCCUGCGCAUGAUUAGUUUGUUGGUGAGGUAAUGGCUCACCAAGACUACGAUCAUUAGCUGGUCUGAGAGGAUGAUCAGCCAGACUGGGACUGAGACACGGCCCAGACUCCUACGGGAGGCAGCAGUAGGGAAUUUUCCACAAUGGGCGAAAGCCUGAUGGAGCAACGCCGCGUGCAGGAUGAAGGCCUUCGGGUUGUAAACUGCUUUUAUAUGUGAAGAAUAUGACGGUAGCAUAUGAAUAAGGAUCGGCUAACUCCGUGCCAGCAGCCGCGGUCAUACGGAGGAUCCAAGCGUUAUCCGGAAUUACUGGGCGUAAAGAGUUGCGUAGGUGGCAUAGUAAGCAGAUAGUGAAAGCGUGUGGCUCAACCAUACUCACAUUAUCUGAACUGCUAAGCUAGAGAACGAGAGAGGUAGAUGGAAUUCCCUGUGUAGGAGUGAAAUCCGUAGAUAUAGGGAGGAACACCGAUGGCGUAGGCAGUCUACUGGCUCGUUUCUGACACUAAGGCACGAAAGCGUGGGUAGCAAACGGGAUUAGAUACCCCGGUAGUCCACGCCGUAAACUAUGGAUGCUAGCUGUAAGAAGUAUCGACCCUUCUUGUAGCGAAGCUAACGCGUUAAGCAUCCCGCCUGUGGAGUACGAGCGCAAGCUUAAAACAUAAAGGAAUUGACGGGGACCCGCACAAGCGGUGGAGCGUGUUGUUUAAUUCGAUGGUAAGCGAAGAACCUUACCCAGGCUUGACAUCCUUGGAAUU